rnacentral:rRNA from 1 species
UGAAAAUAUAAAUUAUUUAAAACUUUCAACAACGGAUCUCUUGGUUCCGGCAUCGAUGAAGAACGCGGCGAAAUGCGAUACGUAAUGUGAAUUGCAAAUUCAGUGAAUCAUCGAGUCUUUGAACGCACAUUGCGCCCCCUGGUAUUCCGGGGGGCA